rnacentral:lncRNA from 1 species
UAAAAAAAACUUUAUUUAAAAAACCUAUUGCUAUAGUUAAACCCUAUGAAAACGAGUACAAGCCCAAACCUAUAUAUGUUGCACAAUCAGUUGUAAAUAGACACGAAGAUUACACGAAGAAGAUUUAGAUAUGUAUGCUGGUGAAUUGGAAUAUUUUGGCGAUUUGCCUGAUUUAGAUGCAAAAAUUCGUAUAUUGGAUCAAUUUAUACGUUCUCGUGCACAAACAAACGAAUUUGGAAUUUAUACGUUCUCGUGCACAAACAAACGAAUUUGAAAUUAAUAAAGGGAUUAAUGACAUCGGGAUUAGAGUCGUUACUUAAAUUUGAGAAAGGGAAACAUCAUCAAUUGUUGCUAAUAAAUAAGCAGAUACCAUGUAAAAAAAAAACACUAAAUUUUAAUGCGUUUAAAACACUUAACGCAAACUAUUGCCACUAACGCUGUAGUCGAAUGUAAUUCGGAAGCAUCUAACGCAUCGACACAGGCAUCAUACUC